rnacentral:lncRNA from 1 species
ACAAACAAGGUAUUCUUCUCCAUGAGGUCUUCACUUCCUUGUACUGUCUCUCCUGAAGUCUUAUUCCCUGGUCUAAAUAAUUCUUGCCUGCCAAUCUAUCAACCCCUCCUGCCCUGCUGUGCUCAGACAUGCCCGCCAGGAAACCACCCCCUCCCUGCUGUAACAGCUUUACCCGCAGAAACUGUUCUUCCCUGCGCUCUUCUAAUUAGCUAAUUACAUUUAGCUUAGACUGUGCGGCCGACCCCAACCAAUAGGGGAAUGAAACAGCAACUAAGGCCAACAGGGUUAGGGAUUAAAAACCCUCUCCAUUAAAAAUGCUCUCCAUUGUGUGAUGUGCUCUCGCCAUUGCUCCACCCACAAGAUACACUCUUCUAUACAAGUAAAUUUGCCUAGCUGAGAAAACUUAUAUUCAAAUGCUAUUUCUUUUGUGGCACUAAAAAUUUGUUCCAACAAUAGAUUUCUGUGGUUUUAACCUCACUUAUUUAAAAUUAAAUGGAUUUGUAAGCCA